GCUGUCUGAAUUCAGUGGCUUAGUGGCAAACGCGGUGGCGUUUGACACGGAGCCGACUGAGUUCGAAUCUCAG
rnacentral:precursor_RNA from 1 species